rnacentral:rRNA from 1 species
GAUGAACGCUGGCGGCGUGCCUAAUACAUGCAAGUCGAGCGAAUGGAUUAAGAGCUUGCUCUUAUGAAGUUAGCGGCGGACGGGUGAGUAACACGUGGGUAACCUGCCCAUAAGACUGGGAUAACUCCGGGAAACCGGGGCUAAUACCGGAUAACAUUUUGAACCGCAUGGUUCGAAAUUGAAAGGCGGCUUCGGCUGUCACUUAUGGAUGGAUCCGCGUCGCAUUAGCUAGUUGGUGAGGUAACGGCUCACCAAGGCAACGAUGCGUAGCCGACCUGAGGGGGUGAUCGGCCACGCUGGGACUGAGAGACGGCCCAGACUCCUACGGGAGGCAGCAGUAGGGAAGCUUCCGCAAUGGAAGAAAGUCGGACGGAGCAACGCCGCGUGAGUGAUGAAGGCUUUCGGGUCGUAAAACUCUGUUGUUAGGGAAGAACAAGUGCUAGUUGAAUAAGCUGGCACCUUGACGGUACCUAACCAGAAAGCCACGGCUAACUACGUGCCAGCCGCCGCCGUAA